UAGGUAAGUAGAUAUUGCUCAUCCCUAAAUCCGAUUCAGUUCAUUUUCGGUUUUUGUGCGCAUCGGAGUUACCUAUAUACCAAUUUCGAGGCGUUCCGACAUAAAUUAAAAACUAAUUUAUAGUAAAAGACGCGCUGCAGUCAACCUAAAUAUAUGUAUAUAUGUAUUUUAGCUGCAAAAAACGAGCACAAACAACAAGAAGCGGCUACCAAGUGAUUACGAAUUUCAAAACAAACAGCGAAUG